rnacentral:tRNA from 1 species
UGACUCAGUGGUAGAGUGCUUGCCUUCCAUGCAUGAGGCCCAAGGUUCGAGUCCUCA